rnacentral:sRNA from 1 species
GCAGGAGUGAACAAAAGCUAUCUCUACUUGUCUCCUAGUGGAAAUUCAUCUCCACCCGGAUCACCUACUCUUCAGAAAUUUGACUGCACUUUUAAUUUUAAUGAUAAUGAUUUGCUGCCACCUAUGGGCUAAUGUGGAAAGAGCAGAACAUGUCAUUACCAACUUUCUUAGAUGCUGAAUAUAAAAUCUCAAGGUCAUCCUGGCAGACUUGAAGCCAACUGGACAACCCUUCAUCCUCUUUUCUGAGAGAUUUAUUUUCUUUGAUAGCCUAGCCGCAUACUUGAAUAGAACCAGAAUCCCCUUGGAUUCUUUUUGGAAUUGGGCAGUAUACAUAAAGCAUUGUUAGCAGUCAGAUACUGUGUUUUUGCCCUUGUUUGAGUAGAUUUGCAAAAGAGUGUGUAUAAAAAGCAUGAAAGAGUCUUUGCUAUUUAAGUAAUUGUUUGGUACCUGAGUUUUGCUUGUUUUGUUUUGGAGAUCUGUUCUAGUUGGAGAACUUGGGAAUUCUGUACGAAACAUUAAAAAUAAAAUAAUGUUUAACAGGUA